rnacentral:misc_RNA from 1 species
GGUCGACCGUACCUCCGUUGAGAAGAAGAGUGGUUGGCAUCGAUAGCAGAAACCGGAAACGUAGACCGAAGAUCUGUAGAACUCUCACGCGUCCGUUUCAAAGAUUUCACGUUCACAGAUUCACAAAAGACUCUGCGAGUGAAUCUACUCACACUCUCUUGGCUACUAGAAGCAGAAGAAGAGGAAGAACUGGUGGCCAGAGGCGGCGUUGUAGACGACCACGGAACCACCUGAUUAUCAGUAUCCCCC